rnacentral:rRNA from 1 species
UGAGGAUUCUUCCACAGUGGACGAAAGUCCGAUGGAGCGACCCCGCGUGAAGUAUGAAGGUCUUACGAUUGUAAACUUCUUUUCUGAAGGAGCAUAAUGAGAGUACUUCAGGAAUAAGGGCCGGCUAAAUACGUGCCAGCAGCCGCGGUAAUACGGAGGUCCCGAGCGUUACCCGGAAUCACUGGGUGUAAAGGGUUCGCAGGCGGGCAAAUAAGUGGGAUAUGAAAGCCCGAAGCUCAACUAUGUGUUUGUCUCCAAAACUGUUUUCCUUGAAUUAGGGAGAGGUAAACAGAAUUCUUAGUGUAGGGGUGCAAUCCAUAGAUACUUAAAGGAACACCGAAAGCGAAGGCAGCUUACUGGAACUAUAUUGACGCUGAGGAACGAAAGCGUGGGGAGCGAAAAGGAUUAGAUACCCUUGUAGUCCACGCCCUAAACGAUGAUAACUAAGUGUUGGGAAUAUUUCCAGUGCUGGAGCUAACGCGUAAGUUCCCCUGGGAGCGGGCAGAUG